AUGGUCUGUUUACCUGGGAUGGAAGACAGGACAGGGGAGGAGCUGUCAGAGCCAGUAAUAUUGGAUGCCCAGCUGGAAAGCGCAGGGUCCCUGGCCUGUAGAGAGAGAGCAGGCAGAGCCCACUUGGAUGCAGGAUGGGCCAUCCGUCAGCCCCCAGAUAUGGUGGUCAGUCAGGGACAGACACUAGCACUGAACUGCUCCCAAAAAUCUACCAGUUUCACCUACAUGUACUGGUACAAACAGGCCGUGGGAAAGGACGCAAGGCUGCAGCUGGUCGUGUUUUCUAUAGAAGGCUCCGGUGAAAAUAUUGAGAAGCCAUUUGAAGGUCACUUCCAGAGCAGUAGGACAAAAAACCAUGUCCUGUCUCUGUCUACAGAGAGUGCCCAGGUGCAAGACUCAGGCACAUAUUACUGUGCUAAGCAAGAUCACACAGUGACUCAGCUGCCGAAAGUGCUUAGCAUAAACCUCCAAGCAAAGUGA